AUCGUCCGUCCGCGGGAUUCAGGCCGCUGUUCGGCGGAGCCGCGUCGUGCGCAUCCUUCUCGGAGCGCCGGCGCGUCUCGCACGCCGGUCGGCGACCGUACUUUCCGCGGACGGAGGGCCACGACCGGUUUCGGGGCGGCGAGAAGCUCCCGGGCAAGGUUCCCUGCGCUUCGGCGUCGGAGCUUAUAGGCCCGGGUAGAAUCGCCCGUCUCGGGACCGAGGAAGAACGCUUCGCGGCGGCGCGUCGACCGCCGGUCGUGCCUGCGCGUUCGACUCGGGGGGACUGGCGUCAGUGCCCUCGGACCGCGCGCUUGCACCGACCGGACGGCCCGGCGCGUCGCUCGGGGUCGGUGGCGAAUCUGCCGGCAACCUGUCCGACCCGUCUUGAAACACGGACCAAGGAGUCUAACAUGUGCGCGAGUCGUUGGGCGCUACGAAACCCGAAGGCGCAAUGAAAGUAAAGGGCCGGUCUCCGGUCGGGUUCGGUGGGAUCCGGGCGGUCUUGGCCGCACGGCGCACCACCGGCCCGUCUAGAUCGCCACGUCGAUCACGCGACGCAAGAGCGUACACGUUGGGACCCGAAAGAUGGUGAACUAUGCCUGAGUAGGGCGAAGCCAGAGGAAACUCUGGUGGAGGCUCGAAGCGAUUCUGACGUGCAAAUCGAUCGUCAAACUUGGGUAUAGGGGCGAAAGAUUAAUCGAACCAUUUAGUAGCUGGUUCCUGUGGAAGUUUCCCUCAGGAUAGCUGGCGUUCACCGGCGAAGUUUUAUCCGGUAAAGCGAAUGAUUGGAGGCCUUGGGGACGAAACGUCCUCAACCUACUCUCAAACUUUAAAUGGGUAAGAAGUCCGACUCUCUCGA
rnacentral:rRNA from 1 species